GCUACAUUGGUGUCCCACGGGAACACAGCCGGGAGCACAGAGCUGGCUCAGAUACGCGGCACCAUCGCCUNUUGUGUGGUGGUAAGGUUGUUUAAAAUUCAAUGAGAUUUUACGCAAAAAACUAAAUUUAAAAGAAGAUGAUUUUUUGUGUGAAAGAUCACCACUUUCUCAACUCGAACAUCUAGUGUUUCUGUUUACUGUUGAAAGUAGCUUCAGCUGAACUGUUUCCUGUUUCGUUGCCAUCCUUUUACGCAGGAUAAUUUAUCACGUGGGAUUUUCACUUGUCAAGAAGUGAUUCAUAGAGUGCUAAGAGUGAUAUAUACUUGAAGGGAGUUCCACCAUCGGGUGGUCUUGCUGCACUGUCUUGUGCUAGUAUGGAACCAUCUGCUUUGAGUUUCUCGUCUUGUUGUUAUUUUGCAAGCAUUUGCAUGUGAUGAAUUAACUCCCUGUUGUCUGAUUUCGCCGUUUUCCAUCAGCCAUUUCCGCUACUUGGAAGAGUAGCCUUUUGAUUUUCACAUUUGCUAGAAUUGUAUUUUAUUGUGGAACGACUUUAGUCCUUGAUUGCACCAGAAGAUCAUACAUUCAACUCUCAGAUCAUCUCUAGAUUCAUCUUGAGGGCCAGAGACGAGACGAGACGAGACGAGGAGGAAGAAGGAGAAUGUUUUAUUUUAAAGAAUUGGUGAUGAUGGAAGGUUGGAUUUGGAAGGGGUUUUAUAUGCAUGCUUUCUAAGUGAGUGAAAGUGAUAAAUGCAUAUUCAAAUUUUCUUUUCCUUUUCCUAAAAAAAGAGUCCAUGUACUUGACUACUUUCAUUAUUUGGUAGCAGAAGAACUGGAUUUUGCUAGAUUCAUGUGCUCUCUGUGAUUAAGUUGGACCUUUUUUAAUUAAUGUGAAUUGGAAGAUUAUUGUUAAUUGAUGCAUGAAAUGUUUGACGAGUGAAUUCCUAGGUAGCUAAAACAUCUGACUUAUAUAUGUUGGGGAAAUGGAAAAAAAGAAAUGAAUAGUCUUGAAUUUUUUAAUAUGUGUUUGUUUUUGUUUGGUUCUAGAAUGGGAAUGCACUUAUUUUGCCCAUACAAACAUUUGGAAAAUUUAUAUUUGGGCCUUAUAUAAUUCCAAGAUCAUUUAUGGUUUGCUUGAUGAACUAAGAAUAGAAGAAGGUAAAGAUGAGAAAUUGCAAGAGAUUGUUGAGAAAGUUUGUGCUCAAAAUUGAGAGAGGUAUAUUACAAGGUAAUUUUUCUUUUGGCAUUGUAAAUGCAAAUGCUUUUGUACGUUUACAAAAAAUGUUGUGGAUGUUUGCAUUUGCUGCUAGUACUCUUGGAGAUGAUGCAUUGUGUUCGUUAGCAGAAAGGGCUACAUUAGUGUCCCGCGGAAACACAGCCCGGGUGCACGGGGACGCAAGCUGGCUC
rnacentral:lncRNA from 1 species